rnacentral:rRNA from 1 species
UACGGAGGGAGCAAGCGUUACUCGGAAUUAUUGGGCGUAAAGGGUGCGUAGGCGGUGCGGUAAGUCUUCUGUGAAACCUCCGGGCUUAACUCGGAGCCUGCAGGGGAAACUGUCGAGCUCGAGUCCGGAAGAGGCGAGUGGAAUUCCUGGUGUAGCGGUGAAAUGCGCAGAUAUCAGGAGGAACACCAAUGGCGAAGGCAGCUCGCUGGGACGGUACUGACGCUGAGACGCGAAAGCGUGGGGAGCAAACAGG